UACAGAGGUCUCAAGCGUUGUUCGGAUUCAUUGGGCGUAAAGGGUGCGUAGGCGGCGCGGUAAGUCGGGUGUGAAAUCUUGGAGCUUAACUCCGAAACUGCAUUCGAUACUGCCGUGCUUGAGGACUGGAGAGGAGACUGGAAUUUACGGUGUAGCGGUGAAAUGCGUAGAUAUCGUAAGGAAGACCAGUGGCGAAGGCGGGUCUCUGGACGGUUCCUGACGCUGAAGCACGAAGGCCAGGGGAGCAAACGGG
rnacentral:rRNA from 1 species